UCUUUCCAUUGCCUUUCCUCUCGCCCUUGCCUCUCUUCCCCCUCCAUUCUUUUCUCUCUCAAGAUCCGCCCCACCUCCCAUGGCGUCGGCGCAUCACGUCCAUCGUCCCCCUGACCUAGGUCUUUCUUCUUCUUCCUUUUGCUUGCUCGAGCUUCCCCUUUCUCUUUCCUCCUGCUUCUCUUCUUGGUAUAAUCUCAUCCCCCAUCUCCAACUGAAGAUUCUCUGCCUUUGAAUGGUGGAAGCUUCUACUAAUCAAGCUGCUGAUAAGCAAAUGCCUAAUUACAGUCUUCCAUGGAAGAUCUUGUGUCGUGUAAUCGACGUGCAAUUGAAGGCUGAAGCAGAUACGACGAGGUGUAUGCACAAGUGAUGUGGCUUCCUCAACCUCAACGAGAAGAGAGCUCCAUUGAGAAGGAACCUCCACCGCCUCCACAACCGUAUUUUCAUGUACACUCUUUUUGUAAGACAUUGACUGCUUCAGGCAUGAGUACUCACGGAGGGUUCUCCGUGCUUAGGCGACAUGCUGAUAAAUGCCUUCCACCUUUGGAUAUGUCUCGACAACCACCUACACAAGAGUUGGUGGCCAAGGAUCUACAUUCAAAUGAGUGGUGUUUCAGCCAUAUUUUUCGGGGUCAACCCAGGAGGCAUCUGCUUCAAAGUGGUUGGAGUGUGUUUGUUAGCUCAAAGAGACUUGUAGCUGGUGAUGCAUUUAUUUUUCUAAGAGGUGAGAAUGGCGAACUUUACGUUGGAGUGAGGCGUGCCAUGAGGCAGUAAGGUGUUGUACCGUCAUCCGUCAUAUCAAGCCAUAGUAUGAAUCUUGGGGUUCUGGCAACAGCACUGCAUGCAAUCAACUCUGGGACCAUGUUUACCGUUUAUUACAAACAUAGAUAUAUGGACACGUCGUACCAUCUUGCUCCUCCACGUUGCUUCAGCCUCAGACCCUUUCUUUACGUUCAGCCCUGACCUAGGUCUUUCUUCUUCUUCCUUUUGCUUGCUCGAGCUUCCCCUUUCUCUUUCCUCCUGCUUCUCUUCUUGGUAUAAUCUCAUCCCCCAUCUCCUACCGAAGAUUCUCUGCCUUUGAAUGUUCCCUGGGUUCGAAUGAGUUUCCGGUGGUAUUCACGCUAUUUCUCAACGUGGGGAUGAAUGAUUCAAUUAUAGGGUUCGAUUCUUUGCGGCUCCAGUUCAGGUUGUUUUCGUGAUCCAAUCUCGGCUGGUUUGGCAUGGGUGCUGGAUCAGAAGCUUCUAAGACAUCUGAUGCCUAUGUUGGAGCAGAAGCGUCUAAGACAUCUGAGGAUCAGAAGAGAAAGGCUAGAGCAGAGAGGUGCGGCUCAAGCUGUCAUCAGUGCUUUGGUUUGGAUUUCCUGUGUCACCUGACGAAGAAGUAAAAAAGAAAGCUCGUCUUGCCAGAUUCGGUUCUGACACUAACACAGACGCUAAGACAGACACAAAGGCAGAAACAAAGGCAGAAACAAAGACAGACACCAAGACAGACACUCUUGAAGAAGACAAAAAGAAAGCAUGGGCACUCAGGUCAGGUUCUUUAUCAUUUAUACUCUUCUGUAUGGUAUUAUUCUUUUUAUGGUGACGACUAAUAUGUCUCUAUGUAAUUGAUAUUGGUGAUAUCUCUCCUAUAAUUUUUCAUGAUAUAUUUACACAAGUUCGCACAACCUCCUUCAAAGGUAGCAGAUCAUAUAAAUGGAAAGGAAGAUGUUGGUUCGGUAAAGUAGCAGAAAACACUGUCGAAGGGGCUUGACAAACUGGUGCAGUUACUUCUCGUAGUAGUACAUUUUGUAUAUCUGAAUUUACUCUCAAGUAUGCUGCCCUGGAUGUCACGUUUCUUAGUCGUUUCUGAAUGAAAUUUGUUUACUUUGGUCAUCUGCAGGUGUAGUGUAACUUUUUUCCUCUCAUUCUAUGGCCUCUAUACUUUUGACAACCUAUUCAGUUUCAUCAUUUUCAAUUGUUUUAGAAGAUUUACCAGUUUUUUCUUCGAUAUAUUUGUUUAAUUUGGUUUUGAUUAAAGUGUUAAUCUGAAUUCUGGUUUUUCUUCCUCUCGAGGUCUCUCUUUCUCUCUCCUCUUUUUGUUUUUCGUAAUUGUAGUUAUUUUUCUCAUUUUUGGAAAUUUCUUGGUGUUUCAAGGUUAAUGUUGUGUUUGCAAUCUGUUUGUGGAUCUGUUGAGCUUGAAUUUGAUCUCGGUUGCAUUUUGUAGGGUUUCUCCUUCUAGAUCUUUUGAUUGGUUGAUGCGGCGGUGAAAGCAAACAGAGAUCCAAGUUGCUUCAAGUUCAGUAGGAUAAAUUACACGAAUAAACCCUCGCUUGUUAGGUUAUGAUACAUAUGACAAUUCAUAAAUCAUGCGGAAAAACCAUAAAGCCAGGAAAACAUAUUAUUUACACAUAAUCAUUUAGCAUAGUUUAGAUGCA